AAGAGUCUAGACACCAGCUUGAAAAAGGGGAGGGUAAGGAAAAAUUUGGAGUGAAGCGGAAGCACCGCGCGGGAGGGUAUAACAGAGCGGCGUCGCGCGAGAGGGAAGAUUUCAAAAUUUUGGGGAGCAAAUUAUGUGGCGCCGGCGUGCAUUGGUAGCUUUUCGCGGAGGCGCGGCGCCAUGAUAUGUCCCUCUUGCUCUCGCUGCCAGAAUUGCCACAUUAAACAGCUUCCUUGCCACGAGAGCCAUUCGGAAACGGAAGAAAUCCCCGUACAAGCCUUUCACACCAGGGCAAUUCAGCACUCCAUUUCAUUUCGAGUCUGAGAGUCACCGCGACUUAGUUUUCCCCUUCCCCGAGCUCGGCGGCGGCAGUGCCUUGGGAUGGCCGCAUCACCGGAUAGUAACGGUCUGGAGAGCGUGGCCGCGUUGCUGGAGCCGCAGCCGUUGGAGGUCAUAGCGCCGGAGAUUAAGGCGAAGAAGCGCAACCCGGCGCCCGGAGUCCGGGUUGUUGGCCGCCGGAUCUACGAUCCGGAGAACGGCAAGACCUGCCAUCAGUGCCGCCAGAAGACAACGGACUUCGCGGCGGCGUGCAAGCAGGUCAAGAAAAAGGGGCCCUGCCCAAUCAAGUACUGCCGCAAGUGCCUCCUCAACAGGUAUGGCGAGAAUGCUGAGGAGGCGGCAGGGAAGGAGGACUGGAUCUGCCCCAAGUGCAGGGGCAUCUGUAACUGCAGCUUCUGCAGAAAGAAGAAGGGUGAGAUGCCAACCGGAAUAAUGGCCCACAUCGCUAAGGCUUCCGGGUGCACCUCUGUCCAUGAUCUCCUUGAAAAAGGGCCAGACGUGGUGGCUGCUGCGCAGGCGAUACUCAAGGUGAAUGGUAGUGAGAAGCAGGGCACAAAGAGGGCCCGAGGAACUGAUGCUGCUGCCGUGGAGGUGGCAGUUGAACAGGAUGAAAAUAUUGGCAUUGAUCUCAAUACAGUUCCGGCGGAUGAAGGGGAUGAAAAUAUAGGCAUUGAUCUCAAUGCAGUUCCUUCUGUCCGUAUCAAGAAAAGGCUGAAGCGUCAGCACAAUGUAAAGAAGAAUCCUGCUGAUGAAAGGUCCCAUUGUGGAGACAAUGGUGAACCUUUGCCGAGGGAUGAGUGCCCUGAUGCUCUUGAUAAUAACAUUGUGCUGCCCAGGGGUACUCCGGUCACUAACAUUGCAGGCGCACAGGUUGACGAUGAAGAUGUUGGGGCUGCUAUUCAGUUUUAUGAGUUCUGCCGUGCAUUCGCAGAGAUUUUUCAAAUAAAGAAAGGGCAACCAGAAAGAAUUCUUCAAGAUAUAGUUGGAGGUCGUGAACUUCGGUUGGUAUCCUCACUUGUUGCCGAGUUUCACAUAAAUUUGUUAUCUGUCAUUCAAGAAGGAAGGGGGAAGAAGCCUUUGGCUUAUACAAGAGAUGGAGAUGCAUGGGUAAUUGACGUUGGCAAAUAUAUCACUGAAUCAAUGUUUAUGUCAAAAGAAUUGCCUCUCAACUGUUUAAAUCAGGGAGUAUCGGGAUAUAAAAACUUGAGCCCUUCUUGUAAGCUGCGUGUUCUGAAUUUUCUGUGUGAUGAGACCCUCUCUGCCGACAAGUUGAGGAACUGGAUUGACAUGCAAAAUGACGUAGCUGCUGAACCAAUGAAUGCUGCCAAAGAGAAAGCACGUGCUGCAAAAGAAAAGGAAAAGGAGCUAAAGGAAAGGCUAAAGAAUAGCAUGGAUAAAACAACACUUCCAAAUGAAGCAGCAGCCCCUAGCAUUGAAGAAAAUAAGGAUCUUAUUUCACAAAUAAAGGAGGCACAGGAAGUCAAGCGUGCAGCCAUAAAUGAUAUGGCAACAAUAGAGAAGCAGGGAGGUGAUCUUUGGACCAAGCCUCUGAUGGUAGAGAAAGGGGUAGCAUAUUGGAAGCUGGAUGGCCAUUGUGAUAACACAUCAAUAUUGCUCCAAGAGUAUGGUGAUGGAUUGAUGGGAAAUAAAGACAAGUGGUUUAUGUUUACUGAAGAUGAAGAGAAAGUAAUUGAGGAACAUAUAGCCACAAGGGCUUGACGAAGGGUUCCGUUUCCUCGAUGAAGGGUUGGAGAGGAAGUUUCAUUUCUCCCCUUCACCUAUAUAAAGAACCUAAGGGGUCAAGGGUAGGGGUUGACUCCUUCCAUCUCCAUUUCUCUCUGUUUGCUUGGAAUGAACCCUUUUGGUGCUGUAGCUGGAAAUAGUUUCAACAGGUCCAGACAAUGGAGAAAGCGCAUCCGGGUAUAAUAGUCUACUGAUCUUAGUCUCUGGGUUGUUCAACUUGCUGAAGGUGGAUGGGCCUAGCCCUAGCUGAGACCUGGCACUGGCAGCCUUCCUUCGCCAGGUGGAUGGCUUGUUUUUGCUAUAGAGAAGUACAGUUAGAGAAUAACUAAGAACAUUUGAAGAUUCAGUGAAGCAUUUAAAAUUAAGCUUAUGCCAUGUUUUGGCAAGAUGAGAAUGCAGGGAAGCUUUUGUAACACAGGUGUAGUUUCCUAAAUGUACCGAAAUUGACAGGAAAGCUUGCAGUAUGCUGCUUUAUGCAGCAUUGUAACUUGAAUUUGGUAUGGUACAUUAUACCUGUUGUAAUUAGUUAUUUUGUAAUCUGAAGCAACAAAUUAUAACCGAUAUGUAUUGUUGGUCUUUGAUGGUAUGGAACUCGAAUUUUAUUAGGAAA